AUUCAAGAUCAUUGCAUGCAAAAUGCUCCUUAUGAAUCUCUUCAUUAUGCGUUCAUACAUGAUCAUUGCAUGCAAAAUGCUUCUUAUGAAUCUCUCCAUUAUGCGUUUAUACAUCAUCAUUGCACGUAAAAUGCUCCCAAUGUUUCUAUUCAUCACAUAACUUCUAAGUCCUCAUCGUGUACAAGUUUUUCUAUUGCUUGUCCAAGUGUAAGCGAAACAAUAGAUCUAUCUGGGUGAUCCAAAGUCGAACACAGAGAAUUGAUAUCAAAGCUUAGUUAUAGGAUUCACUAAGCAUUUAGGCAGUAUAAAAGAAUAAACUAUAUAGUGUGAAAGAAUGUAAGUUUGAGCUAUAUCUACUUAUCUACACUAAAGAAUCUGUAAAGAAAAAUUAAGAUAGAUGCCAGAUGGAGUUGUGAACUAACUUGCAUAAAAGAAGGGGGUGAAGGAAAGUCUAUGCAUUACUAGAUGAUUAAGCAAUAAAAGAUCCUUGAUGCGAUAUAACUUAGUUAAUGUGCUUGUGAUUAAGGUGAACACCUCUCAGUAUCUUUAAAUGCCGCACUUGCUCACCUCUCGGUGUCUUUAAAUGCGAUAUAACUCAAGUUAUAUCUAGAACACUUCAUUACAAGUCUUAUAGAGCUUCGCGUUUAAGGAUGAGAACCUCUCGACGCCUAAUACCCACACUUGUUCUCCUUUCAGGAUACAAAUGAUGGAAGUCAUCUCGCCAAGGUAGAGUUUGUCUCCAAACUCCUCAUUGCGCGCAUUAGCCAUGUCCUGUAGUUGGCAAUAUAUAUUGGCCAGAUCUAAUGCGAGAUUGAACACGCAAUUUGAUUACCGCAUCUUCAUCUGUUUAAUAAUAAUUUCAUUGAUUUCUCAUGUAAGGUUCUAUAUCUGCGACUAGGCUACGCGAGGAGACAUGGUUAUGCAAUAAAAUGUGCUAACUAUGUCUCUAGGUGAGGAUCAUGGUAUAAAAGGUAGAGAUUGUGAUCCCAUAGCCUGAUCUACCAGUAUUUGUCUACUAUUGAGUUCUAGUUUCUAUUGUUGCAUGUCAUACACUCUAAACAUGCAUUUUGAUUUGUACAUAUAUGUAUAUGUUGUAAGAGGUUUCGGGAAUGAUUAUUGGAUGUCUGUUAAACCCUCUUAUUUACGCGGAGUUGUAUUGAGUUACUGUGAGUUAGAACCCGAGUAUGUUAUGUUGUUAUCGAUUGCACUAUUGAGUUAAAUUAUAUCGUGAGUAUUAUGUAUGUCUUUUGAGUUGUUUUCCAUCAAGUUAGUGUUAGUAGCUAAGUUAGAGUUAGCAGGUGUUGUUGAGAGGAGCAAUAUUUGUUGGCUUCAUGUCAUAUCUUAGAAGGGAGUCUGUCCGGAAGGGGUGCGACAUAUUGUCUCUCCUAUAUUUCAUGGCUGAUCUAGCUUCUUUAAGAGUCAUGUAUUGAAUUUAUCAAAAUGCAGCUUCACUUUCAGCUCCUAA